UAGGUCUUGUUGGAGAAGCAGGGCACGUGCAAUAUCUUUCUCCAACUCCAAGCUCUUUUUCGAAAGCUCGAGUUCAAUCAGAUUUUGCACGUGCUCCCCUUCUCCAACAUGAUUUU
rnacentral:pre_miRNA from 2 species